rnacentral:misc_RNA from 1 species
AAGUCGUAACAAGGUCUCCGUAGGUGAACCUGCGGAGGGAUCAUUACUGAGUGAGGGCCUUCCGGUCCGACCUCCAACCCCAUGUUAUCCGACACUGUUCCCUCCGGGGCGACCCGGCCUUCGGGCGUCGGGGCCCCGGGUGGACCAUUCAAACACUGCAUCUUUGCGUCUGAGUACACGAUUGAAUCAAUCAAAACUUUCAACAACGGAUCUCUUGGUUCUG